rnacentral:rRNA from 1 species
GCUAAACACAUGCAAGUCGAGGGGCAGCAUGGUCUUAGCUUGCUAAGGCCGAUGGCGACCGGCGCACGGGUGAGUAACGCGUAUCCAACCUGCCUUACACUCUUGGACAGCCUUCUGAAAGGGAGAUUAAUACAAGAUGUUAUCAUGAGUAAGCAUUUUCGCAUGAUUAAAGGUUUACCGGUGUAAGAUGGGGAUGCGUUCCAUUAGAUAGUAGGCGGGGUAACGGCCCACCUAGUCUUCGAUGGAUAGGGGUUCUGAGAGGAAGGUCCCCCACAUUGGAACUGAGACACGGUCCAAACUCCUACGGGAGGCAGCAGUGAGGAAUAUUGGUCAAUGGACGAGAGUCUGAACCAGCCAAGUAGCGUGAAGGAUGAAGGUUCUAUGGAUUGUAAACUUCUUUUAUACGGGAAUAAACGGAUCCACGUGUGGAUUUUUGCAUGUACCGUAUGAAUAAGGAUCGGCUAACUCCGUGCCAGCAGCCGCGGUAAUACGGAGGAUCCGAGCGUUAUCCGGAUUUAUUGGGUUUAAAGGGAGCGUAGAUGGGUUGUUAAGUCAGUUGUGAAAGUUUGCGGCUCAACCGUAAAAUUGCAAUUGAUACUGGCAGUCUUGAGUACAGUUGAGGUAGGCGGAAUUCGUGGUGUAGCGGUGAAAUGCUUAGAUAUCACGAAGAACUCCGAUUGCGAAGGCAGCUUACUAACCUGUAACUGACAUUGAUGCUCGAAAGUGUGGGUAUCAAACAGGAUUAGAUACCCUGGUAGUCCACACGGUAAACGAUGAAUACUCGCUGUAGGCGAUAUACAGUCUGCGGCCAAGCGAAAGCAUUAAGUAUUCCACCUGGGGAGUACGCCGGCAACGGUGAAACUCAAAGGAAUUGACGGGGGCCCGCACAAGCGGAGGAACAUGUGGUUUAAUUCGAUGAUACGCGAGGAACCUUACCCGGGCUUAAAUUGCAACCGAAUAUGGCGGAAACGCUAUAGCUAGCAAUAGCGGUUGUGAAGGUGCUGCAUGGUUGUCGUCAGCUCGUGCCGUGAGGUGUCGGCUUAAGUGCCAUAACGAGCGCAACCCUUGCCGAUAGUUACUAACAGGUCAUGCUGAGGACUCUGUCGGGACUGCCAUCGUAAGAUGUGAGGAAGGUGGGGAUGACGUCAAAUCAGCACGGCCCUUACGUCCGGGGCUACACACGUGUUACAAUGGGGGGUACAGAGGGCUGCUACCACGCAAGUGGAUGCCAAUCCCAAAAACCUCUCUCAGUUCGGAUUGAAGUCUGCAACCCGACUUCAUGAAGCUGGAUUCGCUAGUAAUCGCGCAUCAGCCACGGCGCGGUGAAUACGUUCCCGGGCCUUGUACACACCGCCCGUCAAGCCAUGGGAGCCGGGGGUACCUGAAGUGCGUAACCGCAAGGAGCGCCCUAGGGUAAAACUGGUGACUGGGGCUAAAU